AGGUGAAAUUUGUAGUUUAAUAGUAAUGUUGAGACUUAUGGGGAUUCUUUUGGAGGCUGUUAAAAUCUAGGUUUAGACCAGGAUUAGAUACCCUGUUAUACUUGAUUUGAAAUGUAUUACUUGAUUAGUAUAAGUUAUGUUCUCGAAAUUUAAAGGAUUUGGCGGCACUUGAGUCUGGUUAGAGGAACCUGUUAUUUAAACGAUAUUCCACGAAUUAUCUUACUUUGCUUUGUAGUCAGUAUGUAUACCUCCAUUCUAAGAAUGGUAUAUUAAUAUAGCCAUUUAAAUUGAUUAUUGUUAAGUAUGUUAGGUCAAGGUGCAGCCAAUAGUAGAGGGAUAAAUGGGUUACAAUAUAUCAUAUAAUAUAUGGAUAAUCUCUUGAAAGGGAGAUUUGAAGGUGGAUUUAAUUGUAUUUUUAUUUUAAUAUGUUAAAAUGAUGUUAGCUCUGGGGUGUGUACACAUCGCCCGUCGCUCUCACUACUUAAAGUGAGAUA
rnacentral:rRNA from 1 species